GACGAGUGGCAAACGAGUGAGUAACGCGUAGGAAUCUCCUUUGAGAGGGGCAUAGCCAGUCGAAAGAUUGGGUAAUUCCCCAUGUGGAUGCAAAUCUAAAGUCGCAAGACGCUCAAAGCGGAGCCUGCGUACCAUCAGCUAGUUGGUAGGGUAAUAGCCUACCAAGGCAGAGACGGUUAGUUGGUCUGAGAGGAUGACCAGCCACGCUGGGACUGCGACACGGCCCAGACACCUACGGGUGGCAGCAGUAGGGAAUAUUCCGCAAUGGGCGAAAGCCUGACGGAGCCAUGCCGCGUGGAGGACGAAGGUUCGCGGAUCGUAAACUCCUGUGGUAGUCUACUAAGUUCUGAAGAGACUACUAGAAAGAGGUUGCUAACUCUGUGCCAGCAGCAGCGGUAAUACAGAGACCUCAAACGUUAUCCGGAUUCAUUGGGCGUAAAGCGUACCGAUCGGCUGUUUAGUAUGUCUGUAAUGAAAGACCGAAGCUCAACUUCGUGUUUGUUAUGGAAACUGCUAAGCUAGAAGAGCAAAGGGGUGGCUGGAACUCUGCAAGUAGGGGUAAUAUCCGUUGAUAUGCAGGGGAACACCAAAAGCGAAAGCAGGCCACUAGGUGCUUCUUGACGCUGCUAGGACGAAAGCGUGGGUAGCGAAUGGGAUUAGAUACCCCAGUAGUCCACGCCCUAAACGAUGAGUGCUUGCUUUUAGGAGGAGUCAAUCCCUCUUAGAGGCGAGAGCUAACGCUGUAAGCACUCCGCCUGUAUAGUACGAGCGCAAGCUUAAAACAUAAAGGAAUUGACGGGAACCUGCACAAGCGGUGGAUCAUGCGGUUUAAUUCGAUUAUGAGCGGGGAACCUCACCUGGGUUUGACAUGUACUUGCACAUCCUACGAAAGUAGGACUCCUUCGAGGGUAGUACACAGAUGAUGCACGGUCGCCGUCAGCUCGUGUCGUGAGAUGUUCGGUUAAGUCCGAAAACGAGCGCAACCCCAAUCCUUAGUUAUUUAAUGUCUAAGGAGACUGCCCGAGUUUAAUCGGGAGGAAGGCUGGGAUGACGUCAGAUCAGCGUGUCUCUUACAUCCAGGGCUACACGCAUGAUACAAUGGGAAAGGUACAACGGGACCGCGAAAGGGUGACCUGGAGCAAAUCCUUAUAAAACCUCCCUCAGUACGGAUCGAAGUCUGCAACUCGACUUCGUGAAGCUGGAAUCGCUAGUAAUCGCGAAUCAGCCUCGUCGCGGUGAAUACGUUCUCAGGUUUUGUACACACUGCCCGUCACGCCCCGGGAGUUGGGGGAGCCCCAA
rnacentral:rRNA from 1 species